rnacentral:lncRNA from 1 species
AAUUUUCUUUAAAAAAGAUAAAAUACUUUUAACAUUCAGAUAUUAUUGCAUAGGUCUUGUAUCUCACAAUAUAACACAAUUACAUUAAAAAAAUUAACUAAAUAUUUCUUAGAAAAGUCUAAUCAAUUCCAAGUGAUAUUCCAUUAUCUUCAAUUACUAAAACUCAAGAAGAUCUCUUGGAGGGAGGACUUAGUGGCCGAUCCAUAAACUUU